GGGAUUAGAUACCCCACUAUGCUUAGCCCUAAACAUAGACAAUACAAACACAAUAUUGUCCGCCAGAGAACUACAAGCGAAAAACUAGAAACUCCAAGGACUUGGCGGUGCUCCACACCAACCUAGAGGAGCCUGUCCUAUAAUCGAUACCCCACGUUAAACCUUACCACCUUUUGCCCCUCAGCCUAUAUACCGCCGUCGUCAGCCUACCUUAUGAAAGAAAAAUAGUAAGCAAAACAGUUAGCAACUAACACGUCAGGUCAAGGUGUAGCAUAUAAGAUGGAAGAGAUGGGCUACAUUUUCUACCAUAGAACACACGAAUGACACAAUGAAACACGUACCUGAAGGUGGAUUUAGUAGUAAGAUAAACAAGCAACAUUAUCUUAAACCCGCUCUGGAGCGCGCACACACCGCCCGUCACCCUCAUCACUAUAACACUACAAAAACAUAUAAAACCCUCCCCAUAACCUAGAUGAGGCAAGUCGUAACACGG
rnacentral:rRNA from 1 species